rnacentral:rRNA from 1 species
GAUGAACGCUGGCGGCGUGCCUAAUACAUGCAAGUCGAGCGAACGGACGAGAAGCUUGCUUCUCUGAUGUUAGCGGCGGACGGGUGAGUAACACGUGGAUAACCUACCUAUAAGACUGGGAUAACUUCGGGAAACCGGAGCUAAUACCGGAUAAUAUUUUGAACCGCAUGGUUCAAAAGUGAAAGACGGUCUUGCUGUCACUUAUAGAUGGAUCCGCGCUGCAUUAGCUAGUUGGUAAGGUAACGGCUUACCAAGGCAACGAUGCAUAGCCGACCUGAGAGGGUGAUGGGCAACACUGGAACUGAGACACGGUCCAGACUCCUACGGGAGGCAGCAGUAGGGAAUCUUCCGCAAUGGGCGAAAGCCUGACGGAGCAACGCCGCGUGAGUGAUGAAGGUCUUCGGAUCGUAAAACUCUGUUAUUAGGGAAGAACAUAUGUGUAAGUAACUGUGCACAUCUUGACGGUACCUAAUCAGAAAGCCACGGCUAACUACGUG